rnacentral:rRNA from 1 species
CAAGUCGAGCGGUAAGGCCCUUCGGGGUACACGAGCGGCGAACGGGUGAGUAACACGUGGGUGAUCUGCCCUGCACUUCGGGAUAAGCCUGGGAAACUGGGUCUAAUACCGGAUAUGACCUUCGGCUGCAUGGCUGAGGGUGGAAAGGUUUACUGGUGCAGGAUGGGCCCGCGGCCUAUCAGCUUGUUGGUGGGGUAAUGGCCUACCAAGGCGACGACGGGUAGCCGACCUGAGAGGGUGACCGGCCACACUGGGACUGAGACACGGCCCAGACUCCUACGGGAGGCAGCAGUGGGGAAUAUUGCACAAUGGGCGAAAGCCUGAUGCAGCGACGCCGCGUGAGGGAUGACGGCCUUCGGGUUGUAAACCUCUUUCAGCAGGGACGAAGCGAAAGUGACGGUACCUGCAGAAGAAGCACCGGCCAACUACGUGCCAGCAGCCGCGGUAAUACGUAGGGUGCAAGCGUUGUCCGGAAUUACUGGGCGUAAAGAGCUCGUAGGC